rnacentral:rRNA from 1 species
GGAAGGUCCGGGCGUUAUCCGGAUUUAUUGGGUUUAAAGGGAGCGUAGGCCGGAGAUUAAGCGUGUUGUGAAAUGUAGACGCUCAACGUCUGCACUGCAGCGCGAACUGGUUUCCUUGAGUACGCAUAAAGUGGGCGGAAUUCGUGGUGUAGCGGUGAAAUGCUUAGAUAUCACGAAGAACUCCGAUUGCGAAGGCAGCCUGCUGAGCUGCAACUGACAUUGAGGCUCGAAAGUGUGGGUAUCAAACAGGAUUAGAUACCCUGGUAGUCCACACGGUAAACGAUGAAUACUCGCUGUUUGCGAUAUACAGCAAGCGGCCAAGCGAAAGCGUUAAGUAUUCCACCUGGGGAGUACGCCGGCAACGGUGAAACUCAAAGG